UUAAAUGUAGGCUUAAAGCAGGGGUUGCCCUGAGGCCCAGGAGGAGAGAGAGCUACAGGGUUCACAAACCCUGACAGACCCAGUUUCUUCCUACACUGAAAGGAAAGGGGGUUCCAGGUCUCCAGGCCUGGCCUGAGGAGGGGUCAGGUGGUAUGGAUGGAGAGGUCUGGCCAGGCAUGGUGAUGUUCAUGCCUUUAAUCCCAGCACUUAGGGAGGCAGAGGCAGGAGAAUAGCUCCAGCCCAGGAGUUUGAGACCAGCCUGAGCAACAUAGCCAGACCCCAUUCACCACAAAAAGGAAAAAAAGUUUGGACAGGGAGGUCAUAUGCACACCAGCCUUCAGCCCACGAGCCAUCCCGCGUGCAGGCAUACACAGGCACCACCAGCCACAGAAGCAUGUGCACACAGGCACCUGCUAGAUCAGAAACCAGCCUGAAGGGCCCCCAGCAACUUCCCCAAACUGGCUGCCACGCCUGCCCAGGAAGUUGCUCAGUUCCUACAUGCCACAGGGAAGGCCUGCCCACCUCCACCUCUCUUGACUCUGUCUCCUCAGGGAACAAGAGCUCCUCAUCAGCCUUUGUCAAACACUCCAUCCUCUGCUCAUAAGCAGCUGAGCAGCUGCUGCUGAGGAACCCAGUGUAACUGGGAGUAACCCGGCCUGCAGCCACCAUCCCUGGGAGCGGCUGCCUCCCAUUGGCUGGGCCUCAUGAGGCGACGUGGCAGCAGAGCCUCCCCUUCUACUGGCUGCCAGGGAGGCGGGCACAGGGCCAAGUCUCACGGGCUGGCGCCGGGGGAGCCCUGAGCAGCCUGCACAGGUAAGGCAGGCUGUCCUGCCCCCGGCCCUGAAGACUGGAUCAAAGGCUCCAACCUGGGCCUUAGCCAGGGGCUGGCAGGAUUGGGGUGGGUGGGGGGCCUCGUGGGAAAGGAAGCUGUAGUGGGGGAAGGGGUUGCGGGAAGAGCUUUGAAGGCCGGAGGCCAGGUAUGGGCGCCCCUGGGGCAGGAAGGCGCCCACUUAAGCCUGGAUGGGCUGGAGAUGAAAGGGGUAUGCCCCCCCACACCCUGAAGCAGGAUGUCCUGGAGGGAACCAGAGCCCCCGCCUGACAGCCUAUCCUGUGCGUCUCCCCUGCCGUCUGAUCCGAUCCGUGGCACCACCUCCGCCUACUUUGCCCCUGAAGCUGAGUAGCACAGGCUUUGUACCAAGGGAGAAGAGGAGGAAAAGAUGAAAGGCCCAAGGUUCUGGCCUCCAUCCAAGAAGGUUCCACAGGAAGGACCAUCCCUCUGGCCAGCUCUACCAGAACAAACAACUCUGCUUUGACCUGUUCCUAUCCAGGAGAUCCCACCUUUUUUUUUUUUUUUUUUUUUUUUUUUUUUGAGACAGAGUCUUGCUCUGUUGCCCAGGCUGGAGUGCAGUGGUGCCAUCUCGGCUCACUGCAAGCUCCGCCUCCUGGGUUCACGCCAUUCUCCUGCCUCAGCCUCCCAAGUAGCUGGGACUACAGGCACCCACUACCACACCCAGCUAAUUUUUUGUAUUUUAAGUAGAGACGGGGUUUCACCAUGUUAGCCAGCAUGGUCUCGAUCUCCGAGAUCCCACUUUAUACAAAAGAAAGGUGUUCUCCAUUCUUAGGAACAUGGAAAAGGGGAAUCCAUACUUGUGUGAAAGUAGCCCCUAAGCCACCUCCCUCCUGGAGAUUCUAAGGAAACUUAUCAGCCCACCAUCCCUAAAGAACUCCUCCCAAGGCCUCAGGCACUGCUCCUUUCCAGGUUUCAGGGGGAGCAUGCUCCAGCAGCCGACCUGUCCCCACCCGGCACCAGCUGCCACAACCUGAAAAUCCGCUUGCUGCCAAGAGCUGCCUGAGCCCAGCCCAGGCUCCCACCCUGCCUCAGAGACAGGAUCCACCUGCCUACUCCUGGUGAGAGCUCUAGAGAGCUACGGGGGCCCGGCCCAGCUGGCUGCAGGCGCAGCUGUUCCACCUAUCCCAGAGCAUCCCUGACCACUAUAGGCAGCCAGAGCUUCAGGCGGACCCAGGAACUGUCCUACUCUCCAGCUUCCCGACCCAUCGCCCUCCACCCCUGAGCUCCUAGAGGACCUUGGAGACGGGAGGAAAGGCCUCCAGGUUCAGGCCUGAUCCCUCUCCGGGUGGGGCACUAGGGAGGUUGGGUUGCCCAGGGAAAGUAGAUAUUACUCAUACAUAGUAACAGCAUAAUUGCUCACCCAGCUCCUUCCAAAGAUCAGUUAAUAAAAUUAAAAGGAAAAGGCAGUCACCUCCCACGAAGGUAUCUAUUGCCUGAGAUCCUUUCCUAGGGGGCCGCCUCAUUUUAUUUGGUCCUUCAAUAAGUCCCCAGGGCUGGGGAUGUGGUCGAUGGUCUCGAUGCGCAAAGCACCGUUCCCGCGCGAACAUCCACAUUCAGACAAAUGCCUGAGGGACGC
rnacentral:lncRNA from 1 species